AAUGAACGCUGGCGGCAGGCCUAACACAUGCAAGUCGAACGGAACCUUCGGGAUUAGUGGCGGACGGGUGAGUAACGCGUGGGAACAUACCCUUUGGUACGGAAUAGCCUCGGGAAACUGGGAGUAAUACCGUAUGUGGUCGAGAGACGAAAGAUUUAUCGCCAAAGGAUUGGCCCGCGUUGGAUUAGGUAGUUGGUGGGGUAGUGGCCUACCAAGCCGACGAUCCAUAGCUGGCUUGCGAGGAUGAUCAGCCACACUGGGACUGAGACACGGCCCAGACUCCUACGGGAGGCAGCAGUGGGGAAUCUUAGGCAAUGGGGGAAACCCUGAUCUAGCCAUGCCGCGUGAUCGAUGAAGGCCUUAGGGUUGUAAAGAUCUUUCAGGUGGGAAGAUAAUGACUGUACCACCAGAAGAAGCCCCGGCUAACUCCGUGCCAGCCGCCGCCGUAA
rnacentral:rRNA from 1 species